rnacentral:rRNA from 1 species
CCUACGGGAGGCAGCAGUGAGGAAUAUUGGACAAUGGGCGCAAGCCUGAUCCAGCCAUGCCGCGUGCAGGAAGAAGCAUCUAUGGUGUGUAAACUGCUUUUGUACAGGAAGAAACACUCCCUCGUGAGGGAGCUUGACGGUACUGUAAGAAUAAGGACCGGCUAACUCCGUGCCAGCAGCCGCGGUAAUACGGAGGGUCCGAGCGUUAUCCGGAAUCAUUGGGUUUAAAGGGUCCGUAGGCGGUUUAAUAAGUCAGUGGUGAAAUCUGGUCGCUCAACGAUCAAACGGCCAUUGAUACUGUUAGACUUGAAUUAUAAGGAAGUAACUAGAAUAUGUAGUGUAGCGGUGAAAUGCUUAGAUAUUACAUGGAAUACCAAUUGCGAAGGCAGGUUACUACUUAUGGAUUGACGCUGAUGGACGAAAGCGUGGGGAGCGAACAGGAUUAGAUACCCUGGUAGUCCACGCCGUAAACGAUGGAUACUAGCUGUUCGGAGCAAUCUGAGUGGCUAAGCGAAAGUGAUAAGUAUCCCACCUGGGGAGUACGUUGCAAGAAUGAAACUUAAGGAAUUGACCGGNUGAGACGAGCGAGACGACGACGAGGGAGGAGG